GGAUUGUGGCUCAGCGGAAGAGCACUUGCCUAGCACAUGUGAGGCCCUGGGUUCUAUUCUCAGCACCA
rnacentral:tRNA from 1 species